CACGUAGGGCGCAAGCGUUGUCCGGAAUUAUUGGGCGUAAAGAGCUCGUAGGCGGUCUGUUGCGUCCGCUGUGAAAACCCAGGGCUUAACCCUGGGCUGGCAGUGGAUACGGACAGACUAGAGGUAGGUAGGGGAGAAUGGAAUUCCCGGUGUAGCGGUGAAAUGCGCAGAUAUCAGGAGGAACACCAAUUGCGAAGGCAGCUCGCUGGAACGUAACUGACGCUGAGACGCGAAAGCGUGGGGAGCAAACAGG
rnacentral:rRNA from 1 species